GAUGAAGAACGUAGCGAAAUGCGAUACUUGGUGUGAAUUGCAGAAUCCCGUGAACCAUCGAGUCUUUGAACGCAAGUUGCGCCCGAAGCCGUCAGGCCGAGGGCACGCCUGCCUGGGCGUCACACGCCGUUGCCCCCCCGCGCCCCGCACCCAACUCUUUGGGAGCGACCGCGGGGCGGGCUGAUGAUGGCCUCCCGUGCGCUCCGCCGCGCGGUUGGCCCAAAUACCGAGUCCCCGGCGACGGGCGCCACGACGAUCGGUGGUUGAGAGACCUCUGUCGCAAGUCGUGCGCGCCCGUCGCGUCACGCGGGCUCGCAUAGCGCCUCGCGCCGCACCCGGUGCGGAGCUUUCAACGCGACCCCAGGUCAGGCGGGGUUACCCGCUGAAUUUAAGCAUAUCAAUAAGCGGAGGA
rnacentral:misc_RNA from 1 species